GCUUUUCACAACCAUGGCGAACCUUGGACUCUUCUCCGCUUUCUUAUGUAUUGCAGUGGCGCUGGCCAACCAUAACUACAAACUCGAACUGUUUCAUCAUUUUGAUCACGUGAUGCAUGCUGAUUCUACGAAUGUCCCUGUUCUUAGUCAGCAGGAAUUCCUAAACAUGUUUCAUCAGAUUGGAACUAAUCCUCACGACUUUUCGUCACACUGGUCGUCGCGCCACCUACCCUGUUCGAACGACGCUCAUUAUUUCUUCCAAGAGUUCGACGCAAACAAAGACAACCACAUCAGCGACUCCGAAAUCAUCUAUUUUUUCAAAUUGUUUGAUCUAAAUGAGGACCAGGAGGUCACUGAGGGCGAGUUCAGCAUGGCCUGGGGGGCAUUGUUUGACGGGUACCUGAACACCCACUCACUCCACUGCAAGUCCAGCGACGACGAUGACGACAGGAAGUGAACCCCCGUACAGGAAUCACAGACUGGGAUUCAAUCAGUGGAUCGAGGGGAAAUAUGACCAUGAUUUUAAUAUUAAAAAAAUUUGAAAAU
rnacentral:misc_RNA from 1 species